AGAGUCGGUCAGGCAAUCGCUCUUUGCUUUUGCAAAGGGAGGAAAGUCCGGGCUCCAAAGGGCAGGGUGCCAGGUAACUCCUGGGAGGUGUGAACCUACGGAAAGUGCCACAGAAAAUAUACCGCCCACAUGCUUGUCGUGUUGAGAUAACCUCUUAACACGAUCAAAGUAUGCGGGUAAGGGUGAAAUGGUGCGGUAAGAGCGCACCGCACGAUUGGCAACAGUCGUGGCAGGGAAAACCCCACCCGGAGCAAGACCAAAUAGGAAUCCAUUUGACUGCAAAGUCAUAACGUGCGGCCCGUACGGGAUUCGGGUAGGUUGCUUGAGGCACACGGUGACGUGUGUCCCAGAUGAAUGAUUGUCCGCGACAGAACCCGGCUUAUCGACCGACUCCUCAU
rnacentral:RNase_P_RNA from 1 species